UCAUUAAACGCCGGGGGGAGGAUGAGAAGCUUCGACAAGGUUCGAGCCGAGCGCAGCGAGACAACGCGCUUUAGCGCGGUCAUCCUUAGAAGCACACAACAGGAAUUUAGCCCAUUCCUUAAAGAAUCAGCAAACCCAUGAAUACCAUGGUGGGGUUCCCGAGCGGCCAAAGGGAGCAGACUGUAAAUCUGCCGUCACAGACUUCGAAGGUUCGAAUCCUUCCCCCACCACCA
rnacentral:sRNA from 1 species